rnacentral:lncRNA from 1 species
AUUCAAUUUUUAUGAACAAUUAAAAAUGAAUGGUUAUGAUAAAUCUGUUAAAAUUUUAAUGUAAAUCAAAAAUUAAAUUUAUUAUAAAUUUAAAUUAAAAAAAAUUUAAUCAUAAAUUGAAUUUAAUUUGAUAUCAAAUUUGAACUAUUCAUCAGUUGUGAUCAAUUAAAAACGAACGGUUAUGAUCAAUCUAUUAAAAUUUUAAUUUAUAUCGAGCCUACAAAUGAUUGUGAUUAAUUAAAAACGAACAGUUAUGAUCAAUCUAUUAAAAAACAACAUUUUUAUAUAAAAAACAUAUAAGAAUAACAGAAGGAAGAAAUAAAAUAAUAUUUCCUACGAACGAUUAUGAUCAAUUUGUAAAAAAAAUAUCUCAAAUAAGAACGAACGGUUAUGAUUGAUCAAUCUGUUUAAAAAAAAUAUUCAAAUUUAUCAAUAAAUUCAAUUCUACGAACAUAUAUGAUCAAUCUGUUAAAAAUAUUUCAAAUAAAAAUAAACGAUUAUAAUCAAUUUGUUAAAAAAUAGCACUUCGAUUCAUCUAUUUUAUAUUAAAAUUUAAAUUUGAGUUUAAAUCGUGAUUUAGAUUUAAUUUUUAAUUUUUGAUAUCAAAUAUAAAUUAAUGAUUAAAAAACUUUUAAUUAUAUAAUGGAUCAAAAUUAAAUUUUAAAAUAUAAAUUUUAUUCUAAAUUUGUUGAUAAAUAUGAUUUAUAAAUUUUUAUAAAUUUAAAUUUAAAAUAAAUUAAAAUAAUAGUUACGUGUAUUUGCAUGUACACUCGAUAAGAAUUCCACCUCAAAAUAAGAAAAGACCGAUCUAAGACGUGUUCAUUCGAAAGAGCUCCGGCGUGCGUGUCCGAAGUAUCUAAUAUAUAAAUAAUGAGUAUCUCCAUUAAUCUCUGAAUCUUUAAAUGAUUUAGACUUAUUCAAGUCCAUCACUUCAACUGUUAUACUCCAUUCUCGAAUUAGAACAAAAGUCUCUAAUUUGGAAGCUCAUAACUCUC